rnacentral:rRNA from 1 species
UUUUCGGCAAUGGGGGCAACCCUGACCGAGCAAUGCCGCGUGAACGAUGAAGAUCUUCGGAUCGUACAGUUCUGUGAUCGGGGAAGAACGGCAUGACCAGGGAAUGGGUCAUGAUUGACGGUACCUGAUUAGAAAGCCCCGGCUACCUAUGUGCCAGCAGCCGCGGUAAUACAUAGGGGGCGAGAGUUAUCCGGAAUUAUUGGGCGUAAAGCGUACGUAGGCGGACUGUUAAGUCUGGUGUGAAAUCCCGCGGCUUAACCGCGGAGGGUCACUGGAAACUGGCAGGCUUGAGUACGGCAGGGGUAAGUGGAAUUCCAAGUGGAGCGGUGAAAUGCGUAGAUAUUUGGAGGAACACCAGUGGCGAAGGCGGCUUACUGGGCCGGAACUGACGCUGAGGUACGAAAGCGUGGGGAGCAAACAGG